rnacentral:lncRNA from 1 species
GGACCUCCCAGGCUCAAGCAGUCCUCCCAGCUCAGCCUUCCAAGUAGCUGGGACCACAGGUGCGCACCACCACGCACAGCUAAUUUUUGUAUUUUUAGUAGAGACGGGGUUCCACCAUGUUGCCCAGGCUGGUCUCGAACUCCUGGGCUCAAGUGAUCCACCCACCUCCGCCUCCCAAAGUGCUAGGAUUACAGCCAUGAGAGCCACUGCGCCCUGCCUAUUUUCUGAUACAAUUGAAAGCUUUACCAUAAAAGUAGAGGUUUAACUGCCUACAAAUGAAUUAUGCAUAUAUUUACAGGAACUUUGGCUUCUUGCCUGUUAGUUGAAGAAUAAUAAAAAUGGACUGUGCGGAAGUUAUCGGAGUGCCUGCUGCUCUUCUAGUCAGCUUAGAAAGAGCCGCGCAGGGAAUCUCUGCUUUCAUUAGUCUUUUCUUCUCUUGCAUGUUUUGAUUUUUGUGUCUUCUCGUGAUUUGCCAUGAUAUCUUAAUGAGAGGACACAGUCCCUGGAUUGCUGAGGCAGUUCACACUGGCCAUCUGUGCUUCUCAGAGCAAGGGGAAGGUGUUCAGAGCGAUGACCCAAGGUGGCCCUUGCCCUCAGGGAACCAGCGGGCCCGGAGUCACAGCGGUGUUCUAGCUUCAGCCCCUCUAAGCCACAGAGAGUUACCACCAGGGCCACUCCCUCUUCAGAACACUGGGGAGCCCGUUGCCUGUCAGACAGCCUGAGCCCAGCCAGCCAGCCCAGCCCCUCCAGGGUACCCCCUCUCCAUGGCCCGGGGCUACACACAUGACCUUGGCCGUUACUCCAUGGUCAGUCUCAGCUCUCUCUGGGUGGCACCCAUGGGGUUUAGUUUCCAGCUGCCAGCUGUAAUCUCGGCUCAUUACCGCACACAGAGACCACUUCUUGGACAUUCCCGUCCUCUGUCUGGUCCAGCGCCCUGCUGCCUCUGCUCCUCAAGUGUUUCCUGAACUGCCCUGGCUCAAGCCGUCCUUAUCUAAAAAAAAAAAA